rnacentral:rRNA from 1 species
UUGAACGCUGGCGGCAUGCCUUACACAUGCAAGUCGAGCGGCAGCGCGGGGGCAACCCUGGCGGCGAGCGGCGGACGGGUGAGUAAUACAUCGGAACGUGUCCUGUCGUGGGGGAUAACCAGUCGAAAGACUGGCUAAUACCGCAUGAGAUCGAAAGAUGAAAGCGGGGGACCGCAAGGCCUCGCGCGACUGGAGCGGCCGAUGUCGGAUUAGCUAGUUGGCGGGGUAAAAGCCCACCAAGGCGACGAUCCGUAGCUGGUUUGAGAGAACGACCAGCCACACUGGGACUGAGACACGGCCCAGACUCCUACGGGAGGCAGCAGUGGGGAAUUUUGGACAAUGGGCGCAAGCCUGAUCCAGCCAUGCCGCGUGUGUGAAGAAGGCCUUCGGGUUGUAAAGCACUUUCGGCCGGAACGAAAUCGCGCGGGUGAACAUCCCGCGUGGAUGACGGUACCGGAAGAAGAAGCACCGGCUAACUACGU